rnacentral:rRNA from 1 species
GACGAACGCUGGCGGCGUGCUUAACACAUGCAAGUCGAACGCUGAAGGCCUGGCUUUUGCUGGGUUGGAUGAGUGGCGAACGGGUGAGUAACACGUGAGUAACCUGCCCUCUUCUUUGGGAUAACGCCCGGAAACGGGUGCUAAUACUGGAUAUUCACUGAUCUUCGCAUGGGGGUUGGUGGAAAGGUUUGUUCUGGUGGGGGAUGGGCUCGCGGCCUAUCAGCUUGUUGGUGGGGUGAUGGCCUACCAAGGCUUUGACGGGUAGCCGGCCUGAGAGGGUGACCGGUCACAUUGGGACUGAGAUACGGCCCAGACUCCUACGGGAGGCAGCAGUGGGGAAUAUUGCACAAUGGGCGAAAGCCUGAUGCAGCGACGCCGCGUGAGGGAUGGAGGCCUUCGGGUUGUAAACCUCUUUCGCUCAUGGUCAAGCCGCAACUGUGGGUUGUGGUGAGGGUAGUGGGUAAAGAAGCGCCGGCUAACUACGUG